AUUGAACGCUGGCGGCAGGCCUAACACAUGCAAGUCGAACGAGUGGCGGACGGGUGAGUAAUGUCUGGGAAACUGCCUGAUGGAGGGGGAUAAAUACUGGAAACGGUAGCUAAUACCGCAUACCAUCAGAUGUGCCCAGAUGGGAUUGGCUAGUUGGUGGGGUAAAGGCUCACUAAGGCGACGAUCCCUAACUGGUCUGAGAGGAUGACCAGCACCACUGGAACGGGGACACGUUCCAGACUCCGACGUGAGGCAGCAGUGGGGAAUAUGGCACAAUGGGCGCAAGCCUGAUGCAGCCAUGCCGCGUGUAUGAUGAAGGCCUUCUGGUUGUAAAGUACUUUCAGCGGGGAGGCGUUACCCGCAGAAGAAGCACCGGCUAACUCCGUGCCAGCAGCCGCGGUAAUUC
rnacentral:rRNA from 1 species